rnacentral:rRNA from 1 species
UACAGAGGAGCCAAGCGUUGUCCGGAUUGACUGGGCGUAAAGCGCACGCAGGCGGUUGCGCGCGUGGGGUGUGAAAUCUGGCCGCUUAACGGCCAGGCGCCAUCCCAUACGGCGCGACUGGAGCGAUGCAGAGGUCGGUGGAAUUGCCGGUGUAGUGGUGAAAUGCGCAGAUAUCAGGAGGAACACCGGUGGCGAAGGCGGAUCUCUGGGCCAGUACUGACACUGAGGAGCGAAAGCGUGGGUAGCAAACAGG